GAUGAACGCUAGCGGCGUGCCUAAUACAUGCAAGUCGAGCGAACAGAUGAGGAGCUUGCUCCUCUGACGUUAGCGGCGGACGGGUGAGUAACACGUGGAUAACCUACCUAUAAGACUGGGAUAACUUCGGGAAACCGGAGCUAAUACCGGAUAAUAUAUUGAACCGCAUGGUUCAAUAGUGAAAGACGGUUUUGCUGUCACUUAUAGAUGGAUCCGCGCCGCAUUAGCUAGUUGGUAAGGUAACGGCUUACCAAGGCGACGAUGCGUAGCCGACCUGAGAGGGUGAUCGGCCACACUGGAACUGAGACACGGUCCAGACUCCUACGGGAGGCAGCAGUAGGGAAUCUUCCGCAAUGGGCGAAAGCCUGACGGAGCAACGCCGCGUGAGUGAUGAAGGUCUUCGGAUCGUAAAACUCUGUUAUUAGGGAAGAACAAAUGUGUAUGUAACUAUGCACGUCUUGACGGUACCUAAUCAGAAAGCCACGGCUAACUACGUG
rnacentral:rRNA from 1 species